rnacentral:rRNA from 1 species
UGGUGGAGUGAUUUGUCUGGUUAAUUCCGUUAACGAACGAGACGACAGCCUGCUAAAUAGUCGAUCGUAGAUCUUCUACGUAUUUCGACUUCUUAGAGGGACAUUCGGUGAUUAACCGAAGGAAGCUUGUCGCGAAAACA